GUCGCCCGCAGAAGACGGCGGUGAAUGGGACCGUGGUUCCCUUCUUGCCCGGCGGCUGGUUCGCGGCAUCGCCGCCUGACCCGCAGGGAAGGGAAGGGAAGGGGGUCGUCGGAAUGCGGAAAGUAGAGCUUGUAAGCGUCAGGAGUCGGAGGGCGGGAGGUAGGGAUGGGUGCCUUGGAAGGUUGUUUCUCUGCUUCGACCUUUCUGGAUUUGGGGAUCCGACUGCCCCAGGGUGUCCAUCUGAAGACAGGAGUUCAUCCCUUUACUCUAGCGCACGUGUGCGCGUGUCGUAGCCGGACGAACUGACAUCCUCUAUCUUUUCCAAACCUCUUAUUUUGAGGAUGCUGUGACGAUUCUAUCUAUGAUCAAGUUGUGAUUUUGUGGGUGGGUGGGGUGUAUUUUUAAAUGCUUCAAGAGCUGUCCAGAUACUUCCGUCGCUUUCACCCUCCCGCCGCGCCCCUUCAUCUGCCGCCCUCCUGGCAUUGUCCCAUGAAUCAUACGCGUGAAGGAGCCUCUGUGGAACAGGCAGCGCCCACGUCGGAAUGCCGAUGUGAGCCAGGGAAGUGGGCAGCAGAAGAAGGAUGGGUGAGACGAGGAAAGCUGCUUUUCUCCCCCCACUGCUGACCUUUCAAAAAUAUGUCCCAAACCGAAUAUCAGCUUCAGAAUUGCAUGAGGUCAUUUAUUCUUUAUGGCAGCGCUGAUUAACCGCUUUCCCUAUUAAUUUGUACAUAUUUAAAGUUAUGGACAAAUGCCUGUUUGUAAUAAACAGGAAUAAACGUUUAUUUCAGACUGUGCUUGUGCCACGCUCGCAGCUGGCCCUUGUACUGCUAGAGAUCAAUAUCAAAUAUCGAUGGUUGCUUACGUGAGAAGGAAACAAGGUUCACGGGACUCAGUCGAGUUUACUCCCGUGUAAACAUGGAUGGUUUCCUUAAAGUCAGUGGGUAGGAUCCAGACUUGGUCCCGUUUAGGAUAGGCCCACUGAAAUCAAUGGGUCUACUCUAAACAUGUCGGUGUUCAGCAUCACCGCUCAAUACAGGUUGGCAUUUUAAGGCUACUGAAUGAAGCUCAACCUUACUUUACCUCCCCUACCCCACCCCCCACCAGCCAGCCCCAUAACACCUACAAAUUAUGGGUCGUUUGGAAAGCCAUUUGUGUAAAUAGGAGGCGGGGCUCAGCCAUCGGCGCUGAAUCGCCUUUGCCUGGAGGGAGAGACAUAAAUCCGAUUUAAAAUACACAGUUGCAACAAUGCCGCGAUAAAUCGCCGCGAUUAGGUUGGCCGAGGGUGUUAAAUGAGGCGAACAGAAAAUUUACUUUUCCGGACUUGCGAACUAGGCGAGUCUUAAAUGGGCCGGGCGCUUUUCAUUAAGGCGAGUGAAUAUUUCAGAUUUCCCAGCUCAGUCCUCUGUGUGCCUAUCUGCUCAAAAGUAAAUCGCGUUGAGGUUAAUGGGAUUGCCUGAGACUGCAAUCUCAGACAUACUUACCUGAGAGUAAACCCCACUAGACACAAAUGUUUUGCUAGUAAUAGAACUGAGAUGCAUCCCGCGGGACUUCUGCAUAACCAUCAACAAAGGAUUGUGAGGUUUUAUCUCAUGGGCGGAAGAGCUACAAACUUUCUCUGAGCGACAGAGUGCUUAAACCUCCCUCUUCAAAUAUUGCGCCUUGAUCGAUUUCUCUGGUAAGUGGAGAAGUUGAUUCCACACCCAAAAACUUCGGUAGGAGGGAGGGGGUUGUCCUGUGUCGUGACUAGGAAAGAAGUCCCCAAAAAUGGUCCUCAGAGAAAGCUGCAAUGCUAAACCUACUGCUCUCGGGCUGGGGCUGGCCUUGAUCCCCCGGCUCAGCUAGGACGUGAAUUGCAGGGUCUGGGUGUUAAUGGUGCGCUUAUCCAUCAAGGUCUGCAUGACGGCGCUGUUAGCAACUAAUUAGCAAACACAAAGGGAGAGCGCAUCAGAGCUGGGGAGAAGGGCGGCGGCUCCAGGCUGCCGGCUCGAAUCCAGUCCUCGGAGAAAAAGGGCUGGCAGAGUGUGGAGCCGCUCAUGUCACCCACACAAAAGAAAGUGGCGUUGAAACUGUCAGUUGCCACCAGCCGGGAAGAUUUGCGGGCAGCAGAAUCAAUUAAUUUCACCUCCUGGGUUUUGGUCUUCGGUGGAAAGGCUCCUGGCAAGGGAGGAAAACAGCGCCAUCAGCAAUGCAUUCCUCUCUUCAAUUUUUAUAAAUUGUGGCUAUUAUUAUUUUUAUCAGUUGUGGCUACUAUUUUUUUAUGAAUUCAGGUAGUCUCCGCAGAGAAGCUCACCAACCUCCCCCUUACAAUAUUUUCCAUACUAGGUUAAGACUUGAUUAUCCACCCAGGCUUUUUAAACCUUUCUUUUAAAACAAACCAUGGGCCUUUGAAGGUGGUUUAAAUAAACUUUAUAGCUACCAUUUAUUAUUAUAUAUUAUAUUAUGUUAUGUUAUGUUUUAUGUUAUGUUGUUAUGUUAUGUUAUGAUGUUAUAUUAUUAAUGUAAUAUAAUAUAAAAUAGGCUUCUAUCACUGAAGGUGAAACCCACAAGAACCCCACAAGAUUCAUCAGAAGUGUGAACUGUGGAUGCACAAGUCAUUCAUGCCUUCACUUUUGCCACUUUGAUGUAACCUCCAAAGUUAAGCUUAGGUAAAGGAGACUCUGGACUCCCCCCGCCCCCCGCCCCCGCGCUUUGUACUCUGCUGCCUCCAUGCUAAAUAUGUUUGUGUGCAUAUGUCCUGUUGAUUUUGAGAAAGUGUAUUUAGCCUCACCAUAAAGAUCCCCUAAUGACUUGGGAAGAAACCCUGUUUAUUUCUGCUGGACUUGCUUCCAAGCAAAAAAGUGUGUCUGGGAUGAGACUACGCAAUUUGGGAGUUGAUUUAAUCUACAUCAGCAGGGUUGAGUUCUGUGUGGUUUUACAAUUAAGGCUGAAUUUGACUUCUUUGAGAAAGUCAUAAACCUAUAUUUGUUUUCAAGGACAAGGAGAAAUGUAUGAAAGGCACAUAUGUGUGGUCUACCAUACAGAACACAGACACUUAUUUGUAUGUAUAGAGAUAAAUAAAAUGAAUGGAGAUUUACAGUGAGGAGACAGUGACUUAUCUGUCUGUAUAGAAAUAUUUGGGAAUGACUGACUCAUUGACUCACUCAGGGGAAUAACAAGAUUUUAUUAUUAUUACUUUUUAAGGCAGCUGUGUUGGCCCAUAAGCCAGGGGGGGCCUCUAAAAUCCAUAGCUGGACAAUGUACCUGUGCAUGCUCACAGCCGGACCAAACAAAAUGUAACAAAAUGGUGCACAAGCUGUCAAGUGUGCCAUAAUUUUUUCCAUUGGGCUAGAGACAUUACCCAAAGCAGGAGUUAAGGGGAAUAAGGGAAAGGGGGUUACAAAAAUCAGGCAGGAUGUUGAAGCCUUGAGGUCUGCAAUUAGACUGGAUUAAUCUUUACUGCAUGCUUGCCCAUAUCUGGUUAAACCUAGGAUUACCAUAUUUUUCACUCUAUAAGACGCACCAGACCUCAAGAUGCACCUAGUUUUUGGAGGAGGAAAACAAGAAAAAAAAUAUUCUGAAUCUCAGAAGCCAGAACAGCAAGAGGGAUUGCUGCGCAUGCGCAGCAAUCCCUCUUGCUGUUCUGGCUUCUGGGAUAGCUGCGCAGCCUGCAUUCGCUCCAUAAGACGCACACACAUUUCCCCUUACUUUUUAGGAGGGAACAAGUGAGUCUUAUAUAGCCGAAAAUACGGUAUUUUUGGACAGUAAUGGAUUGUCAGAAGCUGUAGGUGGUGCAGAAUGCAGUGGCCUGACAGCUAGUAGGAGCAUCUGGCUGAGAACAUGGGACACCAUUUUUACAGCAUCUAUACUGGCCGCCCACCUACUACCAAGCUGGGCUCAAGGUUCUCCUAUUAAGUUAUAAAACCCUGAGCAACUUAGGUCCAGAAUACGUCAGGGACAGCCUGAGCAUUUAUAUCCCAGCUCAGUCACUGAGAUCAUCUGCAGAAGUGUCGUUGCUCAUUCCCCAAGUUGGCAAGGGCCAUUUGACAAUAACAAGCAACUGAGCAUUUAGUGUCAUCGACCGAGUAUUGUGGAAUACUCUGCCAUACUCAGAGGAGACCAAUAAAGCCUACUUAGGUGGCACUUAGGUGGCUACACAGCCCAAUCAUUCUCUAAAAUAGUGUAUAUAUACAAUGCAUAUUAUUAUUAUGUAUUCCUCCAAGGAGCUCAAGUGAUCACCAUGGGUCUUCCCCCGCCCACUCAAUUUUAUUGCCAAAACAGCCCUGUGCGGUAGGACUGACUACCAGGGUUUCACAAAUUUCGUUCUCCAACAGUUUUUGUACUACAAUUCCCAUCAUCCCUGACAACUGAUCCUGCUCGCUAGAGAUGAUGUAGUCCAAAAACAGCCAGAGACCCAAGUUUGGGAAACCUUUGGCUAGCCUAAAAUAAGCCAGUGAGCUUCAUGAUUGGGUGGGGAUCUAUGCCUGGGUUGAUACAGUCUUUGUCCAUCACGUUAACCAUCGCACCACAUAUUUUAUCAAUUUGAUAUAGCACAUGUACCAGAAAACUCACUGCGCCUGUUUUCUGGUAGGAUCCACAUCUCAUCCAAGACUCCAGAGCCACAGUGAAAUUCUAGUGACAAGCUGAGGAUGCCAAGAGUGAAUCUGAAUCUGAACUCCCAUCAACAAUAUGUUCCUGAUUUAAAUGUAAUAUUCUUUUAAUUGGACGGCAUGUAAACCAUGAAGCGGUAAUUAAAAGAGGGUGGGAAUCUGGUAGAUAACUUGCAGAGAGAAUCUGAAAGGCAAGCGGGCAGACUCAUCCAAGACCCUCAGGGUUUCCCCCCCCCCCCACCUCAGCCUUUUCUAACUUUAAUAACUUCAAGUCUCCAAAUAGUAUUUUUUUUUAAUGAAGCACUCAUGGAUGAUACACUCAAUAUGCUACGUAUUAAUUAGACAAACAUGAAGGUUUUAGAUUACACAUGCAGAGCCCUCAGAAGAGGCUGCCGAUCUCCCCCUUGCCGUAUUUCCUUUUCAUUAUCCUUCUCUCUGAUGCCUGAAUUUAAGCACUCUUGAUCAAACUCUCAGUGAACUAGGCCACUGGUUCCCAGACUUUUUUGGGCCACUGCCCCCUUGGUCCCAUAAACUCAUCCCCAGUGCCCCCUACCCCUGUUUACAAAACAUGGUUCAGAGUAGCACUUUUCACAGCCCACUAAGGAAGAUAGCAACACAAUAAAAUCCAAAGCAGGAACAAUUAAUUGCAACUUUAUUCAAAAUCCACUUUAAACUAUUUCCUUUAAUCAAUUCAACAAAACUGAUGAACUUAGCAGCUUUUUCAAAGUCUGAUAAUCAUUGACACCCCCAGAGCCGCCCCCCCCCACUCCUUGCUUCUUAGCACCCCCUAGGUAAUCCAACCACGCCCUUCAUGGGGCAAUACCAUCAAUUUUGGGAGCCACUGAACUAGAUGUUUGAGAGUCGGUGCCAUCCCAAUGUCUUUAAAUUGAGUUUCAAACAUAAAUGGGAGGUUAAAUGUGAAAAUGCCAGAGAAACAGCUAUACAGUUAAGUUGGUCCUGAGACCUUGUGCUAGGAAUGGAAAGGAACAAUCAGGUUACACAAAUUAAAUAGGUUAAAAAAAAAAGGUAAAGGACCCCUGGACGGUUAGGUCCAAUCAAAGGCGACUAGGGGUUUGCAGCGCUCAUCUCGCUUUCAGGCCAAGGGAGCUGGCGUUUGUCUGCAGACAGCUUUCGGGUCAUGUAGCCAGCAUGACUAAACCGCUUCUGGUGCAACGGGACACCAUGACAGAAACCAGAGUGCAUGGAAAUGCUGUUUACCUUCCCGCCACGGCGGUACCUAUUUAUCUACUUGCACUGGCAUGCUUUUGAACUGCUAGGUUGGCAGGAGCUGGGACAGAACAAUGGGGGCUCAGCCCGUUGUGGGGAUUCAAACCACGGACAUUCUGGUCUGAGCCCAAGAGGCUCAGUGGUUUAGACCACAGCGCCACCCGCAUCCCAUUACAAAUUAAAUAUCAGCAGCCCAGAGUGAGGAUAAUACAUCAGCAUUAAAGGGCUCCCAUCUGAGAGACUUAACAACCCAGUCAUAUGUCAGUGGUCCCAAUGAGUACAGACUGCACAUCUCAUGGUGCUCCAAAACCAUCCUUGUGACAGAUGGAAGGAGGGAGACGCUUGCAUGAUACGAGGGAGAGCAGAAAUGGACACAAGAGGCUCAAAGAGGACCAAGACACAUUGAGCUGUCAAGCCCAAGAGUCUACCAAUAACACGCCACCUGCUGGUGUUCGAUGUGGCCAGCAUUUUCCAAAGCAAAAUGCCAAGCCACCCAUCUUCUGUGACCCUCAAGAGUGGUCAGGCAAAUUUUGGGGGUUCAGGCUCCUGCUGCAGUUUAUCUGCCACACGCACAAGACAGCUUUCUGUUGCUUUGCCAAGUUUAACAGGGCAGCUCCUGUUCUCUGGAACUCCCAGCCUAUUGAAUCCUAGAAUUGUAGAGUUGGAAGGGAUCCUGAGACUCAUCUUGUCCAACCCAGUGCAAUGCUUCAUUGUACUGUUUUCAGCACUUGCUAUAUAUAUAUAUAUAUAUAUAUAUAUAUAUAUAUAUAUAUAUAUACAACCCUGCCCAAACAUGCAAUAUUAUUAUGUACUUAUGCUUUUUACCAUCUGCUGCACUAUUUGAUAUUGAGUCUCCACCCCACUUGGAAGAAAGGUGUUCAUUGGUUAGAAAGAUCCCAAGACUGUUAAUGUUGUUAACACAGGUGGACUCUGUGAUGAGUCCUUGCCUGUCAGAAUACCACAUUCACACCAUACUUUUAAAGCACUUUAAGCAGUCCUGGCUCCCCCCCCCCCAAGUGUCCUGGGAAUUGUAGUUUGCUAAGAGUGCCAAGGAGUUGUUAAGAGACUCCUAUUCCCCUCCCAGAGCUACAAUUCCCAGCAUUCCCUGUGGAGAGGAAUUGACUGUUAAACCACUUUGGGAAAUGUAGCUGUGUAAGGGGAAUAGGUGUCUCCUAGCAACUCUCAGCACCCUUCGCAAACUACAUCUCCCAAGAUUCUCUAGGGGAAGCCAGGACUAUUUAAAAGGGGCAUCAUAGCACUUUAAAUGUACAGGGCGGAGGGCUUUCUCAGUAGUAGCGGAACACCCUCCCAUCAGAUGUCAAGGCGAUAAAGAACUACACAACUUUUAGAAGACAUCUGAUGGCAUCCCUGUAUCAGGAAGUUUUUAAUGUUUGAUGUUUCAUUAUGUUUUUAUAUGUGCUGGAAGUCACCCAGAGUGGCUGGAGAAACACAGCCAGAUGGGCGGAGUAUCAUCAUCAUCAUCAUCAUCAAAGGCAGUUUCCUGUGUUGCAGGACAGAAAGUGGAAGAGGGAAAUAUAUAAAAGAAUAUAAAAGAAGAAUAUGCUUCUUAGCAGAUGUGUGUAACAUCCACGUUACCAAGAGCUGGCAGAUGCAAAAAUAAACAAACAAAAUCAGUUUUGAGUUCCACAUGCAACAACACCCUGACAAUCUUGUUAAAUCCCUUCCAGGAGACAAGUUGUUGCAACAGAG